AAGGAACUGGGAUCCUCUAUACUUCUUUUGUGAUUUUUUAUGGAUGUACCCAUUCAUUAGCUGUCUGAACUCUUCGUUUGUCUGAAAAAGAAAUGCAGUGAACUCCUGCCAUAUGCUAUUAAGAGACCAAGGACCGGGACUUCCCUGCUGUGAUAGAAGCCGGACGCGAGGGGAUCGCCUUCAGACCUCAGUCUUUGUAUUUGUAUAAUAAAGCUUUACUUCAGAUGUCUGAUCACAUCAUCAGAUCCAAAACCAAGCUCAUGGUUACCAAGCAGUUCUGAUCCCCAUUUUACUGUAUGGAGCUGAGAUGUGAAUGGCUUACAGGAGAUGCUUCAAGUCACUGGAGAAGUACUGUCAAUGCUGACUGCAGAAGAUCCUAUAAAUCCAAUGGGAAGACAGAUGCCUCAACAUCAGUGUCUUCUCACAAGCAAACACUGCAAGCAUUGAGGUGAUGAUCAUCCAACAUCAACUUUGCUGGGCUGGCCACAUCAUCCAGAUGUCUGACUCCAGACACUUGAAGCAAGUUUUAUUCUCCCAGCUCAGUCAAGGCAUACGCUCAAAAGGAGGGCAAAGACAGCACUUCAAAGAUGUCCUCAAGCCCAAUUUGAAAAAAUGUAACAUUAACAUCAGCUCAUGGGAGACUAUCACCUGGAGGAAAAGUCUAUUGCAAGAAUCUUAGUAUUUUGAAACCUUACAAUGACCCACCCUGCAUGGAGACAUGUGGUCAAGUUGCAACAGAGACUGUCAAUCCCGGACAGGUCUUGUCAGCCAUCUUUGGACUCGCAGAUAAAGCAAUCAUGGAAGAAUUGUCCUUGACUAAGAAGGACUAUGAAUAUAAAAAUAAAAUAAAGCCUUACUUGGAUAAGUUACUUGUCACUCAGUUGAAAGAAAAGGUACUAAGCAUGUUAAAUAUUGCAAGAUGCUGUUUGUCAUCAAAAGCAGAACUGUUUAUAGCU